AACGCGAAGAACCUUACCAAGGUUUGACAUGCAGGGAAAAGCCGUAGAGAUACGGUGUCCGUAAGGGUCCUGCACAGGUGGUGCAUGGCUGUCGUCAGCUCGUGUCGUGAGAUGUUGGGUUAAGUCCCGCAACGAGCGCAACCCUCGUCCUAUGUUGCCAGCGGGUAAUGCCGGGGACUCAUAGGAGACUGCCGGGGUCAACUCGGAGGAAGGUGGGGAUGACGUCAAGUCCUCAUGCCCCUUAUGUCUUGGGCUGCAAACAUGCUACAAUGGCCGGUACAAAGGGUUGCGAGACCGCAAGGUGGAGCGAAUCCCAAAAAGCCGGUCUCAGUUCGGAUUGGGGUCUGCAACUCGACCCCAUGAAGUCGGAGUCGCUAGUAAUCGCGAAUCAGCAACGUCGCGGUGAAUACGUUCCCGGGCCUUGUACACACCGUACGUC
rnacentral:rRNA from 1 species